UUUAGAUUACUGUGAGGACUGUUAACUCUAAGAAUAAAAAGUUUCUUUAGGUAGUAAGAAGAUACAAAAUAUAAGCUGCCUUGAUAGAUAUAAUUUAAAUGUUGCCCUUUAGAGAAUUGAUUUAGCUGAGUACAGUUUGGUGAAGAUACAAUUGUAUCCUCUAGGUUUAAUAGUAUAUGGUGGUAACUGAUGAAUCCUAGGAUGAGCCUAGAGUGAGUCUACAAUCCUAAUAUGUGUUGUCUGUGUCUUUUUUUUUGGCUGUCUCCUCCACUCGUAUAAAUUUAUCAUCUUGUCUAUAUUCUUUUCUUUGCAUUAAUCUACUAGGGUGCUUCAUGGAUUUUGUUGUUUUGUUUUGUUAUGUAAAGUCUAUCAUAUGAAGUGUUUUGUUGAAUUACAGUUUGAAAUUUUCAAAUACUUGCCAUGAAUUUACGUGGAAGCAAACUGUUGGGAUUGAAAAGCAACUCUUGAACAGAAUUCUCUUAAGGAAUGAAAGAUCCAAAUCUUGAUUGAAAUCUAAGCACACAAAAAGAAGAAGGGUCAUUGAUCAGGUGUAGUCAUUUCAAAUAGUACAUUGGUUCAUGCUGUGAGUAGUUUUACAAAAGUUUAAAAGGAAGGAAAUCUGAAAGGAAGAGCGAAGGUAAAAAGGAUUCAUGAAGAAGCAUGAGUUGUGGAAGCUCUGAAAAAGGUCAUUACAGAAACCAUGCCAUUCUUCCCUUCUGUAUAGUUUAAAACUAGUAUCUAGUCAUCACACUUCUGUAUAGAUGAAAGAAAGCAUGUGCUAGGAGUAAUAGAUUAGUGUCUUUAUAAAGAUUUUUUGUUUUGAACAUUAAGCUAUUGAAAUAGAUUUGCAUCUUUUUGUGCAGUGGCUAUUGAAGUUAUUGAAAGAGAUUGCAAUAACAAUAGAGUAAUUGGUAUGUGAAGUAGAACGAAGAAGAUCCCUUCAAAGUUUAUCUUGAAGUAGAGGAAGAAAACAAAGCUUAAUUAUCUUGUAAACUUUUGUAGAAGCUUCAUUCCUUUUGCAACGUUCAUGAAUGUAUCAUUCCUUUUUGUAUAAGUUGCAUUCCUUUUUGUAUAGCUUUUAUUCC
rnacentral:lncRNA from 1 species